rnacentral:lncRNA from 1 species
UUGUCCACAUCAGGCCUAAGACAAUGGUUCAUGCUUGUACACCGUCACUUAGGCUAGGAUGCUGAGUGCUACACUGUGCUAGACCUUAGACAAAAGCUCUUUUCUGCGUGCAAUGUAUUGUAGCAACAGGCCUUGGCAACAGCUUAAGUCCAUAGUGAUGCUGCAAUGCCUGCAUGGUUUCUGUGAAAAACAGGAGUCAGAGCUGGCUGUUCUGCUUUCAAAAAGCAAGCACUUACUGCACCAUGGGCUGCAACACUUCCAGCAGGGUAACUGUUGAGGGAUCACCACCCAAGAAUCCACAUUAUGACAGAGAAGCUCAAAAUCAGGCUGAAGAGACUGCAUCUCUUGGAACAAUUAGCCUUAUAUCGCAAGGUCAGUCAAGAAACAAAGAUGGUUCGUGUCAAAGAAGUUUGCCAGAAGUUAGUACAGAAAAGUUCUCAUCAGCUAAAGAAGAAAAUAAUGAACAGAUUACAGAAGACAUCAGAGGUGGUCUUCCCAAGAAACAUGUAAGCUUACUAGAAAAGAAAAGGCAAACAUCAUCAGAUAUCCUGGAGGAGCUUCGGAUGCAAGGCCUAAUCAAGAACCAAAGUACAACUUCUAAAAAUAGAACAGCAGAUGAUUCCAUGUUGGUCGAUGCUGAAAGGCCACUACAGAAGCCACCAAUCAAACUAGAAAAGCUUGAAAUCAAAAAGAAGAAAGGACAUAAAUUAACAAUAGAGGAGCCUGAAAACAAGACAGAUUUUCUUGAAAAUAGAAGAAAUUACAAUAUCUAAUCUGAACUCCUGCACUGUAAUAUCCAAAUACUUGAUAAUCUAGAAUGUAUGUAUCAACAUAUCAAUGCACAAGGGAUGCUUAUACAGUAUUCUUUCUUUCUCUCAUUUUUUAAAUGAACUUAAUGAAUGAGUCAACUCAUCUGUAAGUUUUAUUGAUUCAAAUGGGCUUAUUCUAACUGCAAUUUAUUUUAAUAUACUGUAGUAUGUCACAGUUAGAGUCAAUGAUUUAUUGAAUCAAUGAAACUUAUGGAGGAGGUGACUCACCUAAUCCCCAUUGAUUCAGUGGGCCUAUGCUAGCACAAUUUGCUAUGCAAAGGAACACGUUUUGGGCUACUGACUGUCCUUUUUCCUGUGAGCAUAGGUGCACACAGUGGAUACAAAUACUGUAGUACCUUUGCACGCAACAUAUACCCUCAAAAGAGAAAAUACCAAAUUAUACAUAUAUAUAGUGCCUGUGCGCCUACAGCUUGCUUGGACACACACUCUGGGCUAGUGGUUCCCAACCUUGGGUAACCCAGGUGUUCUUGGAUUGCAACUCCCAGAAACCCUGGGGUGGAGACUUCUGGGAAUUGCAGUCCAAGAACAAUUGGGCUACCCAAGGUUAGGAACCGCUAUUCUAGGCUAACCUUUCCCAAACUAGAAAGCCUCCAGAAACAUUUGAUUACUUCUGGAUGGUAAAGGAUUGGUGAAGACUGCUCCCCUAUAUGGAGGUCAGGACAUGCUCUACCAUUGCAAUCCUAAACUCUACCAUCCAGACUAUGAUUAUGUUCAUAUCACUAAUUUCUUCUUGGGGCUAUUUUAUGUAAGUACAUGGAUCAAAAUAUGUUUCAUAUUUGCUAUACCUUGUCUCUUUUCAGUCAAAGGAAAGACUACUGAAAAAAGAAUUGCUGGCUGACAGACCUUCACUAAUAAAUCCCUAUGAAGGCAAGACUUCA